rnacentral:tRNA from 1 species
AGGGGUGUAGCUCAGUAUUAGAGAACUUGCCUACCAUGCAUGAGGCCCUGGGUUCAAUCCCCAGCACAACUA